rnacentral:ncRNA from 1 species
AGAAAUGCGAGGACGAGGAGUAGUACGAUUUUCUUGGCGUUCAGAGAGCUGCUGGCUGGUGUGAAGCAGUGGAAGAGAGAAUGGGAACUGACCUCAGAGCGGCUGUCCGAAAUCUUCGGAGCGGGAGAGUAGGCGCAGACGGAGCCCGACCGUUACAGCGGGGAGGAUAUAAGGUUCCAUACAGGAAUCCGUAUCUGAUGAGAGUGUGGAUCUGUUUCCACAAAACCGGAGUGGUACCGCGUAGGAUAUGAAAAUCUUCCGUCUCCGGC